rnacentral:rRNA from 1 species
CACGUAGGGUGCGAGCGUUGUCCGGAAUUAUUGGGCGUAAAGAGCUCGUAGGCGGUGUGUCGCGUCGGCCGUGAAAACUCACAGCUUAACUGUGGGCGUGCGGGCGAUACGGGCAGACGUGGAGUACUGCAGGGGAGACUGGAAUUCCUGGUGUAGCGGUGGAAUGCGCAGAUAUCAGGAGGAACACCGGUGGCGAAGGCGGGUCUCUGGGCAGUAACUGACGCUGAGGAGCGAAAGCGUGGGGAGCGAACAGG